AUGUGGCAGCACACAGAAGGCUUUGUUUGGCAUUAUACUUGAACUUGCCUCCUUACCAGAAAUCACACAUAAAAUGUAUGUGCCUGCACAUGAACACACAGGUAGCCGAAACUGGUAAAGGGGGUAGUGUUGUAGGGAGUCGGUAAAUUAAGGGCUCGGAGAGGGAGAGUGAGUGCUCCUGGGGAGAAGGCAACAAAGAGAUGGCAUUGUAGCGGGGAUCAAUGAACUAAAGAGUCAGAGAAAAUGCUGAUGUGGACCCUGGGAUGAGGCAGAAGAAGACACACACAGAUGGCGUUAGCUGUUUUCCCAUGGGAAGUCGAGUGUAUAAACAAGUGCAGACACCAGACGUGUCUCUGCCACUCUCAGUGUAAGACCUACGGGUGACGGCCGGAGCACACAGACAGGUGAUCAAAGGCAAACAAACCCAACAGCACCCUGUGCAAUACCAAGCGUUGGCUGAAAUCACAUAAUAGUGAGGGCCUUUGGACUCUGGAGCAGUGCAGUUUGGGGAGGCACUUUCCUGCUUCAGCACAAUAUUGCCCCAUUCACAGAGUGCGCUCCAUGGAGGAUUGGUUUGCAGGAACGGAAGUGGAAGAAACUGACUUUCCUGCACAGAGCCCCCACCUUAACCCAACUGAACUCCUGUAGGAUGAAUUGGAACAACAACUGUGAGCCUCAUUAAAGCUCUUGUGACUGAAUGGCAGCAAAUCCCACCAGCAAUAAUCCUACAUCUACAUUUAAACCUUACCAGAGGAGUAGCAGCAAAGAUAGGACCACCCAAUCCCCUUGGUUGGGAAUGAGAUGUUGGACAAGCCGGUGUCUGGAUACAUUUGCCCAUGUAGUAUUUCUACAGUGACUUCACAGUCUAAAGUCUUAUGAAUGAAAUAUUCAGAACUAAUAGGGUUGCCUAUUGACAGUGGUCUAUGUGGUUUUAUUGCACCACAGGGAAGUUAAGGGUUUAAAUAACAAAAUAUGACUGAAAACUCUGUAUCGUAAAGUAUACGCAUGAUAAUAACCUGUCACAGCAAACCACAAACCCAUUUCCACAGCUGUGCCGCUGGGUAACACAUAAAAAUAACAAUGUGGCAGUGAAAGCCGCAGAAGCGAGGCUCUGCGAGUGUCAGUAGGUUCAGAAAUGCAAUACCUGUCCCCCGCUUCUCUUCUUUGGUACGUAAAUUGAACGUUUCAAAUCGGGACGUCGGAACACAAGCACAUCUGAACAAAGACACCCACACUGGGGGAGCUAUUCUAGGGCAAAGAUGUUCUUGGAAGUGAUUUACUUAUCCUCUUACAACACACCUCACAUGUUCCUGGCUUCCUAACAUUCAUUCUUUCUGAGGAAGAAAAAGGAACUGGCUUAUAUAUUAAAACCCAAAAAGGAUGCAGUAGGUUUAGCAAAUGGCUUUAUACCACCAUUUCAUCUCCCUUCAUAUAAGAGAUACUAACAUUUAUUCUGCCUAGUUCUGUGUAUAUGUUUUACUGCGUACUAUUUUAAUAAAUCCAGAGGCAUUUGAGUUGGCAUUACAGCAGGGAAAAGAGUAAAUGUAAAGGUAUCUGUAUGAUCCAACAGAUAAUAUAUUAGUUCAUAUAUCUUA